rnacentral:rRNA from 1 species
AGUUCGAUCUUGGCUCAGAUUGAACGCUGGCGGGAUGCUUUGCAUGCAGUCGAACGGCAGCACGGACUUCGGUCUGGUGGCGAGUAUGGCGAACGGGUGAGUAAUGUAUCGGAACGUGCCUAGUAGCGGGGGAUAACUACGCGAAAGCGUAGCUAAUACAUACACCCAUGCAAGGGGAAAAGCAAGGGGACCUUCGAGCCUCUCCGCACUAUUAGAAGCAGCCGAUAUCGGAUUAGCUAGUUGGUGGGAGUAACGGCUCACCAAGGCGACGAUCCGUAGCUGGUUUGAGAGGACGACCAGCCACACUGGGACUGAGACACGGCCCGAACUCCUACGGAGGCAGCAGUGAAGAAUUUUGGACAAUGGAAACCCUGAUCCAUCAUCCCGCGUGUGCGAUGAAGGCCUUCAGGUUGUAAAGCACUUUGGCAGGAAAGAAACGGCUGGGGAUAAUGCCCGUGCAACUGACGUACCUGCAGAAUAAGCACCGGCUAACUACGUGCCAGCAGCCGCGGUAAUACGUAGGGUGCAAGCGUUAAUCGGAAUUACUGGGCGUAAAGCGUGCGCAGGCGGUUCGAAGAAGAUGUGAAAUCCAGAGCUUAACUUUGGAACUGCAUUUUAACUACCGAGCUAGAGAGUGUAUCAGAGGGAGGUGGAAUUCCGCGUGUAGCAGUGAAAUGCGUAGAUAUGCGGAGGAACACCCGAUGGCAGAGGCGGCCUCCUGGACCUAACACUGACAGCUGUCACACAGCAGCGUGGGAGCAAACGGGAUUAGAUACCCUGUUAGUCGCCCUAAACGAUGUCAACUAGCUGUUGAGGCCUUCGGGCCUUGGUAGCGCAGCUAACGCGUGAAGGAAUUUGACAACCGCCUGGGAAGCUACGGUCGCAGAAAAGUUGAAACUCAAGGUGACGAGGUUACUUACAAGCGGUGGAUGACAAUAGUUAAUUCGAUGCAACGCGAAAAACCUUUUUCACUUAGCCCUUGUCUGGAAUCCCGAAGAGAUUUGGAUUGCUCGCAAGAGAACGGAACACCGGUGCUGCAUGGCUGUCGUCAAGCUCGUGUCAUUGAGGAUGUUAGAGUUUAGAGUCCCUGCCGAAACAGCCCGCGUCGAUGAAUUUGCUACGAAAAGGCACUCUGAGGCUGCGGUGACAAACCCGGAGGAAGGUGGGGAUGACGUCCGUCAUGGCGCUAUGGGUGAGCUUCCCGUCAUACAACUGGUGUCGGGACGGGUCCGCCAGCCGAAGGCCAAUCCAGAAAACCCGAUCGUAGUCGGAUCGCAUUCACCAACUCGACUGCGUGAAGUCAGAUCGCUAAUCGGAUCGGCAUGUCGCAGUGAAUACGUUCCGGGUCUUGUACACCGCCGUCACCAUGGGAGUGGGUUUUACCAAGUAGUUAAGCCUAACCGUAGGAGGGCGAUUCUGUUGGUCGCAAGCUGGGGUGAAGUCGCUCAGUAGCUGUUCCUGAUAUCAAG